CAAUAGCGUAUAUUUAAGUUGUUGCAGUUAAAAAGCUCGUAGUUGGAUUUCGGGUGGGACGCAGCGGUCUCGCAUUGCGUUUGUACUGCUGCAGCCCUCCUUCUUGCCGGGGGCGGCCUCUCGGACUUCACUGUCUGGGGGUCAGAAUCGGCGAUGUUACUUUGAGUAAGUUAGAGUGUUCAAAGCAAGCUUACGCUCUGAAUAUAAUAGCAUGGGAUAACACGACAGGACUCUGGCCUAUCGUGUUGGUCUAUAGGACCAGAGUAAUGAUUAAGAGGGACAGUCGGGGGCAUUCGUAUUCCGUUGUCAGAGGUGAAAUUCUUGGAUUUACGGAAGACGAACAUCUGCGAAAGCAUUUGCCAAGGAUGUUUUCAUUGA
rnacentral:rRNA from 1 species